CAUCUAGGGCUGGAUGGCCCCACCAGGACUAGAGGAGCUCUUCCCCACAUCUGGGGAGAAGCAAGUCACCCUCUAGCCACUGAGGAUCAUCGUCCUCCAGGAGGUCUUGCCAACAGAAGCAUUGCAAUCCCAGUAAGCAUGGCCCAAAAGGAUCUGGCAGCCUCCACCACCACUCAACCAGCUCUAAAACUCCCCCAGGGACCAGUAAGCCAGCCAUAAAACUCAGCAGAUAG
rnacentral:lncRNA from 1 species